GGGGUUGACUGGAUUUGACAGCGUGGCUAAGUGGUAUGUAAGCAUGCAGUGCGUGGUUGAUUGGCACUAUAAUCCCAGUUUUCAAAAUUUUAUCUGGCAACGAAAAUUAUGCUCUUGCUGCUUAAUCGAAUCAUAGUAGAUUAGCUUUAUUUCUGCCAAAGUGGUGGAAACGAGACAUCACUCAAAAGCUCUUGUUCCGAAGCGUUUGAUCAAGUGGUGCAGUAAAAUCGGGAAUAGUUAGAGAUCCGCCUCGUGUCUCUUACGAAAAUUUAGAGGAUAAGGUAUAAGUUGGUGGCUUCGGUCCUGCUUAUACUCGAAAAUUUAGGCGAAGAUAAGCAUGUAGAAAGCGUAUGGCUUCCUCGUUUGGACGAGGGUUCGACUCCCUCCAGCUCCACGA
rfam:Bacteroides vulgatus ATCC 8482, complete genome.